rnacentral:rRNA from 1 species
GAUGAACGCUGGCGGCGUGCCUAAUACAUGCAAGUCGAGCGAACAGAUAAGGAGCUUGCUCCUUUGACGUUAGCGGCGGACGGGUGAGUAACACGUGGGUAACCUACCUAUAAGACUGGGAUAACUUCGGGAAACCGGAGCUAAUACCGGAUAAUAUUUCGAACCGCAUGGUUCGAUAGUGGAAGAUGGUUUUGCUAUCACUUAUAGAUGGACCCGCGCCGUAUUAGCUAGUUGGUAAGGUAACGGCUUACCAAGGCGACGAUACGUAGCCGACCUGAGGGGGUGAUCGGCCACACUGGAACUGAGACACGGUCCAGACUCCUACGGGAGGCAGCAGUAGGGAAUCUGCCGCAAUGGGCGAAAGCCUGACGGAGCAACGCCGCGUGAGUGAUGAAGGUCUUCGGAUCGUAAAACUCUGUUAUUAGGGAAGAACAUACGUGUAAGUAACUGUGCACGUCUUGACGGUACCUAAUCAGAAAGCCACGGCUAACUACGUG